GACGAACGCUGGCGGCGUGCUUAACACAUGCAAGUCGAACGGAAAGGCCCUGCUCUUGUGGGGUGCUCGAGUGGCGAACGGGUGAGUAACACGCGAGUAACCUGUCCUUGACUUUGGGAUAACUUCAGGAAACUGGGGCUAAUACCGGAUAGGAGCUCUUGCUGCACGGUGGGGGUUGGAAAGUUUCGGCGGUUGGAGAUGGACUCGCGGCUUAUCAGCUUGAUGGUGGGGUAGUGGCUUACCAAGGCUUUGACGGGUAGCCGGCCUGAGAGGGUUACCGGCCACAUGGGGACUGAGAGAGGGCCCAGACUGCUACGGGCGGCAGCGGUGGGGAAUAUUGCACAGUGGGCGGGAGCCUGAUACGACAGCGCCGCGUGCGGGAUGACGGCCUUCGGGGUAUAAACCACUUUCGACUGUGACGAAGAGUGCGUGACGGUAAUGGGUAAAGAAGCACCGGCUAACUACGUG
rnacentral:rRNA from 1 species